rnacentral:rRNA from 1 species
UCUUUAGUUGAAGAGAACUGGAAAGUUCCGUCGUAGAAGGUAAUAACCCUGUAGGCGAAAAGGAAAGAAAAGUAGAUCUACUCCAGAGUACCACGAGCCACGUGAAACCUUGUGGGAAGCUGGGAGGACCAUCUCCCAAGGCUAAAUACUACCUAGUGACCGAUAGUGAAGCAGUACCGUGAGGGAAAGGUGAAAAGAACCCCGGAAGGGGAGUGAAAUAGAAUCUGAAACCGUGUGCCUACAAUCGGUCGGAGCACAUUAAAGUGUGACGGCGUACUUUUUGUAGAACGGGCCAGCGAGUUACGAUAUAUAGCAAGGUUAAGCACUUAUGGUGUGGAGCCGAAGGGAAACCGAGUCUGAAUAGGGCAACUAGUUGUAUAUUGUAGACCCGAAACCGGGUGACCUAUCCAUGGCCAGGAUGAAGCGGAAGUAAAAUUCCGUGGAGGUCCGAACCACGUUGGUGUUGAAAAACCAUGGGAUGAGCUGUGGAUAGCGGAGAAAUUCCAAUCGAACUCGGAGAUAGCUGGUUCUCCUCGAAAUAGCUUUAGGGCUAGCGUCGGGUAAUUGAGUAGUGGAGGUAGAGCACUGAAUGGGCUAGGGGCUGACAACAGUUACUGAACCCUAUCAAACUCCGAAUGCCAUAUACUUGUACCCCGGCAGUCAGACUACGAAUGAUAAGAUCCGUGGUCAAAAGG